CAAAACGGCCAUACCACGUUGAACACACCAGUUUCUCGUCCGAUCACUGAAGUUAAGCAACGUCGGCCGGUUAGUACUUGGAUGGGUGACCGCCCUGGGAACCCGGGUGUGUUGG
rnacentral:rRNA from 1 species